UACGUAGGGUGCAAGCGUUGUCCGGAAUUAUUGGGCGUAAAGAGCUCGUAGGCGGCUUGUCACGUCGACUGUGAAAACCCGGGGCUCAACUCCGGGCCUGCAGUCGAUACGGGCUGGCUUGAGUGCGGUAGGGGAGACUGGAAUUCCUGGUGUAGCGGUGAAAUGCGCAGAUAUCAGGAGGAACACCGGUGGCGAAGGCGGAUCUCUGGGCCAUUACUGACGCUGAGGAGCGAAAGCGCGGGGAGCGAACAGG
rnacentral:rRNA from 1 species